rnacentral:rRNA from 1 species
AUUUUACAUGACGCGAUCAGUAAUGCACCGGAUCCCAUCAGAACUCCGAAGUUAAGCGUGCUUGGCGAGAGUAGUACUAGGAUGGGUGACCAAGCAUCUAAUGAACAACCGCGAAGUGUGUUUUC